rnacentral:rRNA from 1 species
CAUGGGGGAAUAUUGCACAAUGGGCGCAAGCCUGAUGCAGCCAUGCCGCGUGUAUGAAGAAGGCCUUCGGGUUGUAAAGUACUUUCAGCAGUGAGGAAGGUGGGUAUGUUAAUAGCAUAUUCAUUUGACGUUAGCUGCAGAAGAAGCACCGGCUAACUCCGUGCCAGCAGCCGCGGUAAUACGGAGGGUGCGAGCGUUAAUCGGAAUUACUGGGCGUAAAGCGCAUGCAGGUGGUUUGUUAAGUCAGAUGUGAAAGCCCGGGGCUCAACCUCGGAAUUGCAUUUGAAACUGGCAAACUAGAGUACUGUAGAGGGGGUAGAAUUUCAGGUGUAGCGGUGAAAUGCGUAGAGAUCUGAAGGAAUACCGGUGGCGAAGGCGGCCCCCUGGACAGAUACUGACACUCAGAUGCGAAAGCGUGGGGAGCAAACAGGAUUAGAUACCCUGGUAG